UGCCACAGGCAUCAAGGGGUCCGAAAGGCUCCUGAGUGCACUUGGCUGGGACUAAGUAAGUCCCGGAGGCUCAAGGAAAGGUAAGGGGUAAAAACCCUUACUAAGUACUUGAGAUCUAGAAAGUAACAGGGGUAUUGAUAAAGCUCGGUACCUCUGUGAAAUCUGGAAGAAUCUGGGAUGAAAGGUCUCAGAGGGUGCAAGGGAGAGGCUGAGUAGGGUCCGUUGAGCCUGUGGCA
rnacentral:sRNA from 20 species